rnacentral:snoRNA from 1 species
GUAAGCCAAUGAUGUAAUGUUAUCCCUGUCUGAAAAUUCAGCUGUGAAGGGAAAAAACAAAUAUUCUGAGGCUUUU